CAUAUACGAGUAUGUAGAUUGUACGUGUGUACGUACAUACGUAGAAUCUGUUUAACUCGCCCUGUGGCUCUCUGUCAGCGCAAACUCGGCGUUAUCGACCACUCGCUGGAACGCAACCGCCGACGUUUGUGUAUCUCCGUGCCAGUGGUUUCCAAAGUGCACCUCUGCACACCUCUGCACACCUCAAAGAGAUCCAACGCACGUAGGAUAUUCUGGGAAUUUUUUCGAAUUUCCUCAUACAUUUCUUUUCUUAGACUCUUUAUGGUUCCGGUUGUCCGUUGGCUAUUGAAAUCAUUUGGGAAUUUCAGGCUUUCGCGAUGUAAUAAGGUUUGGAAACCACUGUGCUGCCAGAGAUAUUCGGUUUUCUCGCGUGCAAGUUUCACGAGUUACUCGUUGGUGCCCCGUGUGCGAUGAUAGGGGUCGAUCGGUGCCGUAGGGUUCGAGCGAAAGCGAUGCCUGAAUCCAUCAAUUCUGCGAAACCUUUUGUACGACACAACUCGACCCGUCGUUUUCACCGUGGCUAAUGAAGUAUCGCGUUAAACGGGAAACUCGAUACCCCGUG
rnacentral:misc_RNA from 1 species